AUGACCCGGCCAGGUGUGGCCAAUAAGGUUGGACGGCCGCCCUCUUCAGCCACAAGGACAGGAACUGCUGUGAAGAUACACAAAUUAUUUGUAUCACUGUGGUACACGUUUGGUGGAGGAACCAGACUGGAUGUUGGAAGUGAUGUCCGUCCCUCCCUGACAGUCCUGUCCAGUGGGGAGCUGCAGCAGGGGACGGCCACACUCAUGUGUCUGGCCAACAAGGGCUUCCCCUCAGACUGGAGUCUGUCCUGGAAGGUGGACGGCAGCAGCAGCAGCAGCAGCUGGGAGGAGAGCAGGAGCCCCGGGGUGCUGCAGGAGGACGGCCACUACAGCUGGAGCAGCACCCUGAGACUCCCUGCAGACCAGUGGACCAAGGUGCUCUCUGUGACCUGUGAGGCCACCCAGGGCUCCCAGACUCCAGUCUCAGAGACCCUGAGGAGAGACCAGUGCUCCCAGUCCUGA